GACAGGAAGAAAUAAGAGGGAACUGACUUUAGACAGAUAUCUAAUUAUUCUUCUCUGUAAGGGAAGAGGAAAAGUUUAGAUAUGCACAUAUACAAAAAAGAGUGUCUGAUUCUGACAUAAUUUGGUCCUUGAAAAUUUUUUUUUCUCCUUCAUAGGGCAUGUGGGAUCUUCGUUUCCUGACCAGGGAUCUAACCCAUGCCCCCGAUACUGGGAGCUCAGGGUCUUAACCACUGGACUGCCAGGAAGUCCCUGGUCCUUGAAAAUUAUAUUCAGCCAAAAUAUAUUUAAAGCCAGAACUUAUUAAUUCCUGAUGUAUGGAAAGGAAGGAAGCGGUGUGUCCUGCUUGAAACAAAAUGAUGUGCUGCUCCGGCAAACAAGACACCAUGGGGAACAGGUCUAGUUCUCAGGGAGCUGAGGCCGUGGAGAGAGUUUGGGUCCAAGGGUGAGCCACACCCAGCUGAGUAGGGAGUAGAUCUGUGAGAAAUUUCUAGCCUGGCAUCCACUGUGCUAAACAUGAACUAACCCUGCCAGGGGAGGACAAGCCCCUUGUCUGUAGGCUUCUAUCCUUGAGAAAACAGAUGCUGCUUUGAGGAGCCGUGCAGCGGAGCUGGCACAAGUCGGCAACUAUGGGAAAGGGAAGGGCAGGUGUCAGGGACUCCUCUAGGUGUCCCCACCUCGAGGUUGGGAUUUCAGGUGCUAUGACAGAGGGGAUCGGACCAGGGGUGAGGUGUGUGUAUGGCUUUGCUGGACAGAGCUGAAGUUACUAGGUAGAAUCUGGGCUGGGAUAGGGUGGGAAGCACUUUACACAAUAAUCAGGUUGCUAGGAGCCCCCAGUCUUCCACGGCCCUUUCUCUCUGAAGCUCCCUCCAUAGACUCCUCCCUCCAGCACCUUCUGACAGCUAUGUCAAAGAGUCAGUUUGGACACGGGAAGAAAACUCUAGAUACAUUUUUCUGGAUAAACGAGGUAACUGGAGAAAUCACCUACCCCCAGCAGAAGACAGACGCACCCGCAGCGUCACCAGCUCCUCUCCAGAAGCCAGGAGAGGGACCCAGAUCUCAGCGCGGGGCCCUGCAGGGUGCUCCUCCCAGCACCCAAGGCGCGGCCGGCACACUUGCGCAGAAGGCCGCCCCUCCACCCCCUCCUAAAGCUGCACGGAAAGACGUUGGCUCUCGAAACUCCUUCCCAGCUCCGCCGCCCUAUCUCCUGGCCAAAGAUGGAGCCCUGAGCCCCUCGCCGUUCUCUGCAGUUCCUGUCACCAUCUCGCCGCCAGGAGGCGCUGGGCCACCGUUCAGCCCGCUUGGGCCAGCCCUUCUGCCGCAAGCCUCUGCCUUUCCUCCCAGCCCUUCAGGCCCCUGGGGCUUCACCUGCAAGCUGAAAAACAUCCUUACUGGGAAUAACCGAUUUUCCUUUUGAGCCUGAGCAAAUACGCCUGACCACGCCCUCCAAGCACCUUGCUGAACCAUUGUCGCCUGGCACCAGUACUCCUUCACGCCAUAAAAGACCGGCCUGCCUACCCUAGAAGCACUAAGGACCCUUGGCAGAGUUCUUAUAAGAAUAUGCCCAGUGCUUUCAAAUCCCAUAUAAAUUUAACUUAGAUUUUGACACUUUUUUUUUGUUGUUGUUGUUUAAGAACUUCC
ensembl:lncRNA